GCUCUCUUUGGCAAAAUAUAGACUAGAACUAGAAAGAUACAGAGAAGAUUAGCAUGGCCCCUGAGCAACGAUGACACACAAAUUCAUGAAGCAUUCUAUAUUUUA